rnacentral:lncRNA from 1 species
CACAGGUUUACACCUCUGAGGUAAAACUGAAUUUCUUACCACAUUUUCUUUUGUCUUUCCCACAGCACAUGAAUGAAGACCUAAGCUUUUGGAACAACUGUUGGAAUAGGGCUUACAUAGACAUAGACAUGAACGCUUUUGGUUCUGGAGGUGGCCUGGAACCAAACGUCCAUGAAUCUGAAGGAAGGAGAGACGGCAGCUGACAUUUUCAAUUUGACAAGGCACUUGCGCUCUACAUUGUUUGAAAUAAAAAUUUGCAGUCAUGUUGUGGCUAGGUAAUUCAAGCAUAUGGAAUGCUUAAACGUUCAGAAACAAUAGGCAGUCGGGAACUCCUAUAUCAGAAUACAUUUUUGUACUUUGACAAGUGACAGAAAAGAUAUAAAAGAAUGUCCCGCUGUUAGAGGAGCCCAGACUGAAAUCCACUCUACAAUGACCUUGUGGGAAAUCAGAAUGGUGGAGGGGCACACCGAACUCUGACAGAAUUGAAAAAGAAUACAGCCUUCUGAAAAG